CCCAGCUCGUCAUGCUAGAGCACUUUUUCAAUGUGCCCCCAACGACAAGGCGACAACGCAUUUGUAUGUCAAUCCAUAUCAACUUUCGAUUCCGUUUACUGCGCCAACUAUGGUGACCAUGGGGAAUCAGGGUUCGAUUCCAUACAGGGUCCCUGACAAACGGCUACCACAUGCAAGGAAGGCAGCAGGCGCGCAAAUGACCCACUCCCGAUGCGGGGAGGUAGUGAUG